rnacentral:rRNA from 1 species
CACGUAGGGUGCGAGCGUUGUCCGGAAUUAUUGGGCGUAAAGAGCUCGUAGGCGGUGUGUCGCGUCGGCCGUGAAAACCUGCAGCUUAACUGUGGGCUUGCGGUCGAUACGGGCAUCACUGGAGUUCGGCAGGGGAGACUGGAAUUCCUGGUGUAGCGGUGAAAUGCGCAGAUAUCAGGAGGAACACCCGUGGCGAAGGCGGCCGCCUGGGCCAGUCCUGACGCUGAGCCGCGAAAGCGUGGGGAGCGAUCCGG